AUCGGUAGCUGGUCUGAGAGGAUGACCAGCCACACUGGAACUGAGACACGGUCCAGACUCCUACGGGAGGCAGCAGUGGGGAAUAUUGGACAAUGGGGGGAACCCUGAUCCAGCAAUGCCGCGUGUGUGAAGAAGGCCUGAGGGUUGUAAAGCACUUUCAGUGGGGAGGAGGGUUGAUAGGUUAAGAGCUAAUUAACUGGACGUUACCCACAGAAGAAGCACCGGCUAACUCCGUGCCAGCAGCCGCGGUAAUACGGAGGGUGCGAGCGUUAAUCGGAAUUACUGGGCGUAAAGCGUGCGUAGGUGGUUGAUUAAGUUAUCUGUGAAAUCCCUGGGCUUAACCUGGGCAGGUCAGAUGAUACUGGUUGACUCGAGUAUGGGAGAGGGUAGUGGAAUUUCCGGUGUAGCGGUGAAAUGCGUAGAGAUCGGAAGGAACACCAGUGGCGAAGGCGGCUACCUGGCCUAAUACUGACACUGAGGCACGAAAGCGUGGGGAGCAAACAGGAUUAGAUACCCUGGUAGUCCACGCUGUAAACGAUGUCAACUAGCUGUUGGUUAUAUGAAAAUAAUUAGUGGCGCA
rnacentral:rRNA from 2 species